CUUAUUAGUAGCCCCCCUAACCCUUUCCAAUUAUUUUUCUACCUACCCCUUCCCCCAUCCAUAUUAGUAGCCCCCCUAAACCCUUCCAAUAAUUUUUCUACCUUUGUCCCCCCUUUUAUCUGACAUAGCAGGGGGACCUCUGGACGUCUUGCAGGCGCAGUGUCAGACUGAGCGCCGGGUAGUCACGUGACACUCGGCAAGGGCCGGUGCAAGGAUUUUUGCCGACCUAGGCAAAAGUAAAGUUUGCCGCCCCCCCAUGUGACAUCACAAUGCCCCAUCCAUAUGAUCUGCCAUGUUAACUAACGCCAGUGCUGGAGUGCCGCCGUGGUUACAUUAAAAGGCUUGCAGGCACAGGCAAUAGACACCAGAACCACUGCAUUAAGCUGCAGUGGUUCUGGGGGCUAUAGUGUUUCUUUAAUGUGAGGUAAAUUAGAGAUUAGUGCCACGAAUAAUAUACUAGAUUGCCUACUUACAACCAGAUGAGGAUGAUGAUGGGCUCUAGCUGCAGUCUGGCUCCACUGCUCUGGUGUAGAACAGGCUCUCUGGAGGCUGUUUGUAACUGUGGUCACAAAAAUCAAUGUUCUGGGAGAACGGGAAGCAGCUCCAUUUUUUGGGGGCCCAAGGUCUGGGUCCCAGGGUCCACCUUCAUGUUCCACCUUCAGUGUGCACUUCCUGUUAGUCCGGCCGGGUACAGGAGACAGAUGCUCCCUGUACCCGCGGACCAUACAGGGCUCGGCCACGCUACAGAGAGCUGAGCGCUUCCCUCCUGUCAGCCCCUCUCCUCAGGCUGCGCCCGGGCCGUGCGCCCUCAUGGACGCACCGACCGGGCAAAGCUGCAGCCGCCUGAGGCUCUCUACAGAGCGCUCAGGCGGCUGUAGCAUGAGGGGGACCAGCGGAGCUGGGGGGAUUUCCCCGUAACCUGUCCCCCCGCAUGAUUUGCUGGGGUGGAUGUGUCCCCCCAUCCUCCCCGGUUCCUACGCCCAUGCAGGUAUGUACUAUUAACUACAAGGAAAACGAUCAAUCUUGCUGCUUGCGUGACAAACUCUGUAUAAAUGCUAGCCCUGAAAAUAUACUCACUGAGAACUUGUUAAGCACUCUUUCAUGUCUGUGUCUUAAUUUGCUAAACAAGAACUCCCGUCAAUUGAUGUGGUGACUGGAGAAUUGAGAAUCGAGGGGAGUUGAGUCCAGAACAGCAUUAACCCUUUCAACGGCAACUCUUUUCCUCACAGGCAAACAGGCUCUGAAGUUGGUGGUUUGCUUCUCCAUCACUGGACGUAGCUUUGCACAAAGGUAUAAAAAUGUUUCCUCUGACAUUCUGAAAUUGUGCACCCACUGUGUGUGUGUGAAAAUCCAGGGACGGUCAUAUCCCACCACUCAUUGGCAUGACGGAGAGCCCAAAUGACUGGUCGGCGGCGCUGCUUUGACAAAAGGAGAAGCAUCAAAAAAAAAAAAAAAGACAGAUGUGGCGGAACAGACCUUGCCACGUGUUCUUGGAGGGGGCUGCUUGCCCGCCUCCUACCAUCUGAUUAUGGCCCUGGGAUAUAUGGCAUUUGAAAACACUAUUUAUGCCCUGUGACAGAACUGGAGAUUGUGCACAAAUAUGACUAUUGUCCAUAUUUUUUAUGAUUCCCUUCAUUUGUUGCACUGUUCCUCAUGUGUUUCAUCUGUUGGUUCGGCUGGAUAGACUACCAGACAAACUGUGGAGUUACUGGGUGACUCAUGGUACAUGGUGAGAACAAUGGAUGGCGGCCAUUUUAACUCACAGACACUGUUUGGACUUUUCUACACGGUGCCAUCUCUAGAGAACAGGGGACACAUUUAACAGUAAUUAUUUUUCAUAUAGCCUGUAUAUGUUCUGCGGAAUCUGCAUUAAACCGUAUCUUCCAAACUACUUAACAGAUCUGGGUGAAUUUUGGAUAUGUGGUUCACCCAGAUCCCCGGGUUCUGAUGAUAUAUUUUUAUGGUGUUAUUGCAUGUAUUGGGGUCCCUGUGAUAUGUUUUAUAAUACUGUAUUUACGAAAUGGAUUGAAAAGAAUGUGUUCAUAGGAG